rnacentral:rRNA from 1 species
UACGAAGGGGGCUAGCGUUGCUCGGAAUCACUGGGCGUAAAGGGUGCGUAGGCGGGUCUUUAAGUCAGGGGUGAAAUCCUGGAGCUCAACUCCAGAACUGCCUUUGAUACUGAAGAUCUUGAGUUCGGGAGAGGUGAGUGGAACUGCGAGUGUAGAGGUGAAAUUCGUAGAUAUCAGGAAGAACACCAACGGCGAAGGCAGCUCGCUGGGACGGAACUGACGCUAAGGCGCGAAAGCGUGGGGAGCGAACAGG